rnacentral:tRNA from 1 species
GCCGGGGUAGCCUAGCCCGGGAAGGCGCCAGCCUUGAGAGUUGGUGGGGCUCUGCCCCUCAUGGGUUCAAAUCCCAUCCCCGGCG